rnacentral:tRNA from 1 species
CAUCAUGAAGCUUAAAGCGUUAGCCUUUUAAGCUAAAGUUAGGGACCUUAAAUCCCCAUGAUGAC